rnacentral:lncRNA from 1 species
GCACGGGCGCCUGUGGUUGGGCCAAGCCCCAAUAUGCGUAGAUGUUCGCGGGCAUAAUAGUGUACCUACCUGCAUGAAGAUCGAACAAAGAAGGAGCAGGCAAAGUAAUAGUCUCUCAAGUACCCUGACUAAAUACCAGGUUAUAAAUCAUCCGUCUACUAGCAUCUCUAUCCAGAAAAUCAUGGCGAACCAUGCUGUCAUAAUCCAGAUAUUUCUCAGGGAGAAGCAUCUCUCCUUCCUCUCCCAGUCUAAUG